rnacentral:rRNA from 1 species
UACAGAGGUCCCAAGCGUUGUUCGGAUUCACUGGGUGUAAAGGGUGCGUAGGCGGUCGGGUAAGUCUGAUGUGAAAUCUCACAGCUUAACUGUGAAACUGCAUUGGAUACUAUUCGGCUUGAGAGUUGGAGGGGGGGACUGGAAUUCUUGGUGUAGCAGUGAAAUGCGUAGAUAUCAAGAGGAACACCAGUGGCGAAGGCGGCUCACUGGUCCGGAACUGACGCUGAGGUGCGAAAGCGUGGGGGAGCAAACAGG